GUCGAAAAUGUUUUUGUUUUAAGAGUUUUUGACAGUCGGUUCCGCAACCUGGUUAUAGUAAUGCGUAGAAAUACAUGAGGUAUGUCUUUCAGUCUUACCACAACUUUUGUCUGUUGAAACACACAAUUCACAUUUUACGAGAUAAAUUGUACAUCCGAAAUAACACAAAACACUAAAAUAAGAAUUUGAAAAAACAAGGGAAAAUCCAGUUAAAUAAUUCCAUUCCUUAUAACCAGAAGUGUG
rnacentral:lncRNA from 1 species